UGGGGAAUUUUGGACAAUGGGCGCAAGCCUGAUCCAGCCAUGCCGCGUGAGUGAAGAAGGCCUUCGGGUUGUAAAGCUCUUUCGGACGGGAAGAAAUGGCGGUCUCUAACAUAGCCUGUCGAUGACGGUACCGUAAGAAGAAGCACCGGCUAACUACGUGCCAGCAGCCGCGGUAAUACGUAGGGUUCGAGCGUUAAUCGGAAUUACUGGGCGUAAAGCGUGCGCAGGCGGUUUUGUAAGACAGAUGUGAAAUCCCCGGGCUUAACCUGGGAACUGCGUUUGUGACUGCAAGGCUGGAGUACGGCAGAGGGGGGCGGAAUUCCACGUGUAGCAGUGAAAUGCGUAGAGAUGUGGAGGAACACCGAUGGCGAAGGCAGCCCCCUGGGCCUGUACUGACGCUCAUGCACGAAAGCGUGGGG
rnacentral:rRNA from 1 species